AGUGAACGCUGGCGGCGUGCCUAAUACAUGCAAGUCGAACGGAAUUUAAAAGAGCUUGCUCUUUUAAAUUUAGUGGCGCACGGGUGAGUAAUAUAUAGCUAAUCUGCCCCUUGCUGGAGGACAACAGUUAGAAAUGACUGCUAAUACUCCAUACUCCUUUUUACCAUAAGAUAAAUCGGGAAAGAAUUUCGGCAAGGGAUGAGACUAUAUCGUAUCAGCUAGUCGGUGGGGUAACGGCCUACCGAGGCUAUGACGCGUAACUGGUCUGAGAGGAUGAUCAGUCACAUUGGAACUGAGACACGGUCCAAACUCCUACGGGAGGCAGCAGUAGGGAAUAUUGCGCAAUGGGGGAAACCCUGACGCAGCAACGCCGCGUGGAGGAUGACACUUUUCGGAGCGUAAACUCCUUUUGUUAGGGAAGAAUAAUGACG
rnacentral:rRNA from 1 species